rnacentral:lncRNA from 1 species
UGACAUCAUCCUAUUUAUUCUUGUGCAAGGAAAGAUACAAGUAUAUUAACAGUGUGCAUUUGCCUAGUAUAAAGAACUGAGCCACCAGAUGAAACCCUUGGUCAAAUAAGCUAGAAAGACCAAAGUUAAGUCUGACAUCUGUGAAACGCGCGGACAUGAAGGCCCCCAUCUACAUGAAGAUUGAUCAUCGUCCUGUAGGUGACACAUUUAUUCUCAUCACUCAGUUUGAACACAAAGCAGUGCACCAGGACAGCCGAGAAGAUCUUCAUCUGCCUAUAAGCAAAUUCCUUGCCUAAACAUAUUCGAGGCCCUGCCUGUAAACCAUUAGAAAAUAAAGUUCAGUAUGUUAACACCUUUAGCCGAUAAAGUCACACUUGUGAAACAAUAUGAGAGGUUUGAACUUUCAGAAAAAGACUCAGAACCAGAAUCAAAUGCUGUUAUACUGCCUUUUUACCCUCUUUUUUUCUAUUUGAGGUUUUAUUUUACACCAAGUGCCAAUCAGAAUAAAAAUGCUUUGCCCGAUCUGCAAAAGAAGCAUACAACAAUUUCUAAUUUGCAACAUGUUCUGCAUACCUGGAAUGCUGUAAACUUAAAAGGGCUUUCUGAUUGGAACAUCCCAUCCUCAUCAAGCCAUCUCUCUGGUUUGAACUCCUCUGCAUCAUCACCCCAAAUGAAUUGCAUUCUGCCCAUUGCAUAAGGUUGAUAACAAACCAUAUCCCCUUUCCUCACACUGAACCCAUCUGGUAGAGUAUCAUCAGAGAAGCAUACCUUUGCAUCCUGCAAUCAAUGUGAAGAGAUAGUGAGAACCAAAGAACAAGGAAGCUAAUUUCUAACCUUCCAGAUACGCAUUAAAUGGAUAUCAGUUUAUAGAUGCAUGUUCUUGGAUGUACAUUAACAAGUUCAGUUGGAGGAUUCAAGAUUCAAGGCAACUUUGCUUACAACUGGAACAGCGGGGUAGAGCCUUAAUGUUUCAGUUAUGGCUGCAUGGAGAUAGUGCAUUUUUCCUAAAGCUUCUUCGCUCAAGAUAGCAGCAAAUUCAGCAUAAUCUUUAACAUCUUUCGUGUCAGUUGCUUCCUUCACUUCUUGUGCAACCUUUUCUUGAACAUCAGGAUGCUUGCAGAGCAUGUAAAUAAACCACGACAGAGUAGCUGCCGUUGUGUCUUUCCCAGCAAUUAUGAAGUUAAGGAUUAUAUCUCGCAAGUAUGUUGGAUCAGUGUCACUCACUUGUAGAAAUCUGGAUAAAAUGUCUUCCUUUUUCAUCUGCAUAAUCUGUAGAAAAUAAUAAUUUCAAUAUUCCACUUCAACAGGUAAUAUAAGUUGUUAACUAUAAGUAGCUCUACUGUUCUAGUUCACUCACUGAAGAUUCAUCCUUUGAGUUGCGCAUUUGCUCAAUCUUGUUGUGGAUCAGCUUAUACACAAAAUUAUCAACCACUUCUAUACUUUUCUUCAGUGUGGCCUCUGAUCCAAUAUUUAGAAAUCUUUUGAUCUUCCAGAAGAUAUCAACAUAUCGGAAGAGGAUUGCUGCACUUGAAUCAUCAAAAGCAGCUGUAAACUGUUUGCCUUCUAAAUUUGAUCCACACAUGCUGUCUAGUUCGACUCCAAAUGCAACUUUGAAUAUUGAAUCUAAAGUCGAUUUCAUAAACAAGUCCUGCACAAUAUAUCGUUAUAACAGAUUCAUUUUAUAUAUCACUCUGCCAUUGAUCUUGCCAUUAGGUGAACUUACCUGUAUAUCCAUUAUCUCAUUGGAAUUUGCUGCUUCAGACACUAUAGUCGCAAGUUUUGCCGCAUUUUCCCGAAAGACUACACUGCUGAAAUCUCUCAAGACCUUGGUUGAGAAUUCAUAGCUUGAUACUUUCCUCUGUUGACGCCACUUAUCACCAUCGACAGUGAAAAUCCCAUCGCCUAGUAAACCCUUUAGCAAGCUGUAAUUGUACUCACCCUGCACAAAAAAUUAAACAGAUUGGAAAACCAAAACAACUCCACCAUUCUGCCUUUUGGGUGGCCAUAUAAUUAUCAAAAGCCCUUUCAUUCCAACUAAUCACUCUGCGGCACAUUAGCAUCUUCAAUUGACUUACUUGUGGCGAGAUUGAGACCCUUUUCUUAAUCUAAUUAUGGGUGUUUCUGUCUAGGCUACUUAUACUAACCAAUCACCGGGAGAGUUCAGAAUUUUCUAGACCAACAAAUUAUUUGUGACUUUGAGGUGUGAAACGAGAGUCGGCACCAUACCUUGCCAUAAUUCUGGAAAUUUGUUUUGAGAAUAUACUCAACAUUGUCGGGUUCCGAGGUAUAAAUCUCAUUCCUGAAAGGGCUAAGCAGCCUGUAGGUCCUGUACUUCCCUGCAAGAUCAGUCAUAUAGUGAUGCAAUCUUCUGAAGUUGAGGAGCUGGUUAAAAACCGUUCCGCCAACAGGAUGGUACUUGGCCUUAUUUUUCCUCUGCCUUUCUCUUAGUUUUGCUGUGAGGAACUUGACAGUGAAAAGGGCAAGGAUUAGACUUAGAACCAAAGCUACCAAGGGAACUGGGUUAGACAGAUCCAUGGACAUGGAGGUACGUUUGGGUAAGCUGGUCUAUCAAUGUUAGGUGAAGGCUGUAUUAAACUAGAGAAGUCGGUUUUGUAAUACUAAUAAUAUCAACGGAGAGAAGUCCUUCUGCUAAGUCAUUCCUCUCAACCAAACGUGUCAUAACCUAAUUGGACGACAUUCGGACAAGCCCUAAACGUGGUUCUCUCGAAUUUCACAAGGUGAUCUUUUUGAAAAUUGGUAAAAAAUUACUAAUAAACUUCACCACAGCCAAGUAACAAAACAAAGGGCCAUACUUGUUAUUUCCUUAGUUAUGAUGAUAAAGAACAUACAAAUCUCUUCUAAUUGGUUAUUCUAUAGUUAAGUAAAGAGAAUGAUUUUUGAAUUUAAUUCUUAAAUAAGAAAAUACGUGUAUUUAUCAUGUUAAAUUUAAUACUCAAAUGAAAAAUUAAUUAGAAUUUUAUUUCGGAGCAUAUGAUACAAUCAAGUAACUUAAGUACAAAGAUGAUUAAGCUUGGCAAACAAGGAUAUGUCAUGUUUCUCAAUCCGAGAGAUAAGAAGCACAGAGCCAAAGGCCCUGCAAAAAGGCAGGGGAGAACUGAAUUGUUGUUUCCUAAAACUUUGCAUUAAGAUCAACAUGACUUUCUAGUCAUUAAAUAUUCUGCUAGAUUUCGAACUUGCAAAUAUGGUCUGUUUUAAUGAAAUUGCAGAAUGUUGUCUCACGUCUCAAGAACUUUGAUUUCACUUCUUUUUCAAGGAAAAAAAAAUGGUUUCACUUAGUUUGCAGAAGUGUCCUGAACUCAAUUUUCAGACAAAAGUAUGGUUCAAGACUCCUUGGUGAGUGAAAGUAAUUCUUCAUCAUAUUUAUUCCUUUAUUUUUCUUUUUGGAUAUCAUUGUAUUUAUUCUUGUGCAAGGACAAGUACAUGCAUACUCAAACCUUGCAAUUGCCCAGCAUACAGAACUGAGCCAACAGAUGAAACCCGUGGUCAAAUAGGCAAGAAAGACUAAGUCUGACAUCUGGGAAAUGCGCGGACAUGAAGGCCCCCAUCUACAUGAAGAGUGAUCAUCGUCCUGUAGGUGACAGAUUUAUUCUCAUCACUCAGUUUGAACACAAAGUAGUGCACAAGAACAGCCGAGAAGAUCUUCAUCUGCCUAUAAGCAAAUUCCUUGCCUAAACAAAUUCGAGGCCCUGCCUGUAAACCAUUAGAAAAUAAAGUUCAGUAUGUUCACAUCUUUAGCCGGUGAAAUCACACUUGUGAAACAAUAUGAGAAGUUUGAACUUUCGGAAAAAGACCCAGAACCAGAAAUCAAAUGCCGUUAUACUGAUUUUUUACCCUUUUUUCCUAUUUGAGGUUUUAUUUUACACCAAGUGCCAAUCAGAAUAAUAAUGCUUUGGCCGAUCUGGAAACGAAGCGUACAAGAAUUUCUAAUUUGUAGUAUGUUCUGCACACCUGGAAUGCUGUAAACUUAAAAGGGCUUUCUGGUUGGAACAUCCCAUCCUCAUCAAGCCAUCUCUCUGGUCUGAACUCCUCUGCAUCAUCACCCCAUAUGAAUUUCAUUCUGCCCAUUGCAUAAGGUUGAUAACAAACCAUAUCUCCUUUCCUCACACUGAACCCAUCUGGAAGAGUAUCAUCAGAAAAGCAUAUCUUUGGAUCCUGCAAUCAAAGUGAAGAGGUAGUGAGAACCAAAGAAAACCCCAGAACAUAGAAAGGAAGCUAAUUUCUAGCCUUCCCGAUACGCCUUGAAUGGAUAUCAGUUUAUAGAUGCAUGUUCUUUGAUGUGCAUUAACAAGUUCAGUUGGAGGAUUCAAGAUUCAAGGCAACUUUGCUUACAACUGGAACAGCGGGGUAGAGCCUUAAUGUUUCAGUUAAGGCUGCAUGGAGAUAGUGCAUUUUUCCUAGAGCUUCUUCGCUCAAGAUAGCAGCAAAUUCAGCAAAAUCUUUAACCUCCAUCGUGUCAGUUGCUUCCUUCACUUCUUGUGCAACCUUUUCUUGAACAUCAGGAUGCUUGCAGAGCAUGUAAAUAAACCACGACAGAGUAGCUGCUGUUGUGUCUUUCCCAGCAAUUAUGAAGUUAAGGAUUAUAUCUCGCACGUAUGUUGGGUCAGUGUCAUUCAAUUGCAGAAAUCUGGAUAAAAUGUCUUCCUUUUUCAUCUGCACAAUCCGUAGAAUACAAUUAUUUCAAAAUUCUACAUAGAAACCGUUAAUUAUAAGUAGCUCUAUUCUUCUAGUUCACUCACAGAAGAAUCGUUCGAGUUACGCAUCUGCUCAAUCUUGUUGUGGAUCAGCUUAUACACAAAAUUAUCAACCACUUUUGUACUUUUCUUUAGUUUUGCUUCUGAUCCAAUAUUUAAAAAUCUCUUGAUCUUCCAGAAGAUAUCAACAUAUCGGAAGAGGAUUGCUGCGCUUGAAUCAUCAAAAGCAGCUGUAAACUCUUUGCCUUCUAAAUUUGAUCCACACACGCUGUCUAGUUCAACUCCAAAUCCAACUUUGAAUAUCGAAUCUAAAGUCGAUUUCAUAAACAAGUCCUGCACAACAUUUCGCUAUAACAGGUUCAUAUUAUAUAUCACUCCGUCAUGGAUCUUGCCAUUAGGUGAACUUACCUGAAUAUCCAUUAUCUUGUUGGACUUCGCUGCGUCAGACACUAUAUUUGCAAGCUUUGCUGCAUUUUUCCGAAAGACUACAGUGCUGAAAUCCCUCAACACCUUCGUUGAGAAUUCAUAGCUUGACACUUUCCUCUGUUGACGCCACUUAUCACCAUCGACUGCGAAAAUCCCAUCACCUAGUAAACCCUUUAGCAAGCUGUAAUUGUACUCACCCUGCACAGAAAAUUAGACAAAUUGAAAAACCAAAACGACCCCACCAUUCUGCCGUAGCCAUAUAAUUAUCAAAAACUCUUUCGUUAUAGCAAAUAACCCUGCAGCACAUUAGCAUUUGUAGUUGACUUAAUUGUGACUAUAGAUUGAGACACUCUUUCAUAUUCUAAUUCUGGGUGUUACUGUCUAAGCUACUUCUUCCAACCAAUGACAGGGGGAGUUCAAAAUUUUCUAGACCAACAAAUUACCUUGCCAUAAUUCUGGAAAUUUGUUUUGAGAAUAUAUUCAACGUUGUCUGGUUCCGAGGUAUAAACCUCACUCCUGAAAGGGCUAAGCAGCCUGUAGUUCCUGUACUUCCCAGCAAGAUCAGUCAUAUAGUGAUGCACUCUUUUGAAGUUGAGGAGCUGGUUAAAAAGUGUUCCGCCAACAGGAUGGUACUUGGUCUUGUUUUUUUUCUGCUUUUCUCUUAGUUUUGCUGCGAGGAACUUGACAGUGAAAAGGAUCAGGAUUAGAUUUAGAAACAAAGCGACCAAUGUAGCUGGGUUAGACAGAUCCAUGGAGAUGGAGGUCCUUUUUGGGUAAGCUGGUCGAUCAAUGUUAGCGGGUGAAGACUGAAGAAAACUAGAGGUCUUUUUAUAAUACUAAUAAUAUCAACGGGGAGAAAUCCUUUUGCUAAGUCAUUUCUCUUAACCAGACGUGUGACUAUAUUCGGACAAUCCGCAAACGUGUUUCUCUUAAAUUUUACGUGCACAUUGCUGAGAGUCCAACCAUGAGAGAGAUAUGCACCGACUUUCCUUCGUUGUCUCCUUUUUCGUUUUUAAAUUGUUAUAAGUUAUUAACUAAUUUCACCACAACCAAUUAACAAAACAAAGGGCAGGACUAGGUUUUUUUUUACUCAGUCAAUAUAACUAUUUAGAGAAAAUUGUGAAAAAUAACUCAUAAGGUGAUUUCAAAAAUAAUUAUCCAUAUAAUGUUAUCUGUUUUUACCAAAAAACAAACAUGAGUAAACCAAAAUGCUCUCAGAAACAUCCUGGCAAAUCAAUCUCCUAAUAUCUCUCUCGCUGUAAAGAAAAUAAAUACUCAGUUAUUUCAGCUCGCUCAACUCUUUCAGCUCUCUAAAUUAUAUCAGCUUUGUCAACUCUCUGUUAAGUACCAUCGUCAUCAACUCUCUUAGCUAUUUGAACUGUAUCAUCUAUAUGUACUUAUUAAAGAUAUAAAUUAAAGAAUAUAAAAGAAAACGAAGUAAAUGAAUAAUUGAAAAGACAAGUCGAGCCACUAAUUACUACAAUGAUCACUGUCUGAUCACGACAGCUAAAGCCACUGCAAUUGCUCGGCCAAUAAAGUUGACAAACUUUGUUGAAAUAGGACUUGCAUUGAAAAUCACGUCAGUUCAUACUAUCUUAGGAUCAUAUGUGACCAUUUUGUAUAAGCUAGCUUUCUUUCAAAUUAUGAUAACUAUGCAUUUAAUGAAUGAUUUAUAUGAUGAUUAGUAUGCAUUCUUAGGCCUAGCUACUGUUCAAAACUUAGUUGUUAAGUUUUGUUAUGUAUAUAAACUAAGUCAAUGCAUAUCAGAAAUAUGAAACCUACUGUUACAACAAAAACUGUCUUUACUUGCUCUGUUUCAUACUUAUCCUACAUCAACUAAAACACAACAAAACUUACUAAAUAAAGCAAUCUAUAUACCAACAAUGUCUUGGAAUUUAGCAAGUUUUAGUUUGUCCUCUUGGAAUGACAUAGAGGUCGAGGCCAUGCUGGAGGGUGAAGCCACAACAUGGUCCUAUCGUCUGCCAAGUUGAAGCGAAAGUAGUGAAUAAGGGAACUUUGUUGAGAUUUUCUUUAUCUGCUCAGAAGAAAUUAAGAAAAAAUUAUAUGGUGUAGAUACUUGAUUUUGAUUUUGAUUGUUAACAUAUUUCUUCAAUAUAAAGUAAAAUUAAUUUAUAAAACGUUGUAUUACUAUGUAAGAAGUAGUGUAGAUAAUUUAUAAUAAGUAGAAAAAUCACGUCAUUGUAUAAACUAGUGAAAAUAUCUUCGAAAUAAAUGAUGAGAUUUUUAAAUUAAUUUUUUUAAAAUGUUUUGAAGAGUUUGAUUUGAUAACUUAAAUACAUAAAUGAAAAUUUUCUAAAUACGUAUGCAUAAAAUCCACUAUCACCAUCAAUGACCUAAACAUUCAUAAGGCUUUAAUGCCUCAACAGUUGACAUUUUCUCAUUGGUAUGAAUAAAUUUCAUUAAUUACAAGAUUACUCAAUUCCAUAACCCUUCAAGAUAUUUUCUCAUUGAUUGUGUUCGAUUUGAUAAGGAUGUUAAUUUUUUUUUUUGAAUUACAAAUAUUUUUCAUUUUUUUAAAUAAUUAAGUGACGCACUUCUAAUGCCUCAGUAGCUGACAUUAAUUAUCCAUUGGUUGCAUUCACUUUGAUUCGGAGCUAAUUAACAACCGAAAAGUUGGCCGAUGUUUGCCGACUUGGAUUUAAUGGUCAUAUGAGUUGGUGUAACAAUGUGAUACCAAAAAGGUAGUAAUCAAUACAAAUUUUGAGUAGGAAGAGUACUGCAUUCAAAUGAAAUCAAGAAGAAGAUUGUGGAGAAAACUCUCAUUUAAUGGAAGAACAUGACUGCCAAAUACGAGUACCUAAACAUGGUUUGGCAAUUGCCAUCAUCCUAUGCAUCCCUAGGUUACUUAACUGAUUGAUGUAAUUCAUUGAAUAAAAUGGUUAGUUGUUAUUAUCAUGUCAUGUCAUCGUCAUGAUAUUUCUUCCUCUUUUGUGAGUAAUGAGAUUUUUGAAGGAUGGAGAUGACUCUACCUAAAUUCUUAGAUUUUUUUGUUGCUUAUUUUCAUUGUAUUUUGAGUUUUUGACUGUGUCUAACUGUUUAUCUUUUGCAAAGCCAUUUUUUCACCUUAAUUUCAACCCAGCAUCUGUGUGUUGUCCGAUGGGUUAGAAAAUGGGCAAGUUUGAUUGGUGGUUGAUUCCUUUUCUUCAGCAUUUUGGUAACUUGGGCCUAUAAAAUUUAUUUAUAGUAGACAAAAAAAAACUUUUAUUAAAAAAUAUUAUAGUAAAUAUUUGUUUCUUUUCGGAUAAUUGACUUUUAUUUAGCUAAGGAAUAUUUUAUUUGAAAUAUGUCCCAUAUAUACCACUGAAAAUCCAAGGCUUUUUAUGGUUAUUCAUUCUUAAUGGCAUUUCUACUAAAUGCUUUCUAAGAAUCAGAACGCAUGGUGUAUGUCCUACAAUACAAAUGGUGAUAACCUUUGUUUUUGGUGUUACAGCCAUGGAGGAAAAGAGUGAUGAUAUUUUAUUUUCUUGUCACUUCAUACGGUCCAUGGAGGAAAUGUGGAUAGAUCGAAGAUAAGUAAAUCAAGAUUCACAGACUGUGAAAGCGUAUUAAAAGAUGAGAACUUUUUGACUUGGAUUUUUUUUAAUAAAAGUUCUUUGCUUGGAUUUUUUUUUAGUAAAAAUUCUUUGCUUGGAUUUAAGAGAUGAGAUUCAAAGAACUUUUAAGAGAUGCAGCAAACAACCUCAAAAUCCAAGCUCUUUGCUUGUAAGCUUCCUAGCCACUUGUAAACAGAAAAUACGGCUUCUAUGGAGUCCCAAUCUCGGGAAAUGGUCAGGGCAUAUAGACCAGAUGACUCGAAUUGUACAUAUAUUUUUUUCUUUUUUGGUGAAAUAACUCAAAUUCCAUUGAUCAACACAUUUACAGAAAAAAGCAAAUCAACACUAUAGAAAAAUGCAAAUCGGGGCUCUUAUGUACAACCAGCAAGGUUGAAGACUUGAAGUUGAACAAAUUGAUGACUUUGCACAGGAGGAUAUUUGGAAAUUCAUCAACUUGUCCUUGGAACAGCAUAAAGAUGGAGGCCCCCCUUCAUAUGAAGUGUGAACAUUGUCCUGUAAGUUGCAAUUUUCGUAUAAUCAACUAAUUUAAAGCGGAAGAAGCGAAGAAGGGCAAUUGAGACUAUCUUCAUCUACCGGUGAGCAAAAUCCUUGCCUAAGCAAGUUCGAGGACCCGCCUGAAACAUAAUGCAGCAGCUGGAAAAGAUUAAGAUCGUUUGACAACUAUAUAGGCACAUGCAUGUUAUACACAUGGUAGAAAUGGAACAAAGAAUACUAACAUGAAAUGCUAUGAAUUUGAAAGGGGAUUCGGACUGGAAAACUCCAUUGUUAAGCCAUCUUUCUGGUCGAAAAGUGUCGGCAUCUUCUCCCCAAAUGUCAGGCAUUCUACGCAUGGCGUAGGCCAUGUAAUACACCCCGUCUCCUUUCUUGAGUUUGUAGCCAUCGGGGAGAAUGUCAUCCUGCUCUGCAUUCCUUCCAUCCUUGAAGCACAAAGUGAGAACCAUAUCAUAUUCCAGCUGUCGAAAUGCUAAGACUGCAAGAAAAUCUAUGAGUGUCUCAGGCACCUUACAAUGGCGACAGCAGGGUACAGCCUUAAGGUCUCUGUUAUGGCUGCAUGAAGAUAGUGCAUUUGCUCUAGGGUUGAAUCAGUUAUGGUUGUCACGAAAUCAUCAACAUUAUUAGCACCAUUUCUUUUACUACUAGUGACGUCCACCACUUCUUGUGCAAGUUUUUCUUGUAUCAAAGGGUUCUUGCAGAGCAUGUAGAAGAACCAGGACAGAGUAUUCGCAGAAGAAUCUUUGCCAGCGAGUACGAAGUUCAGGAUUAUAUCCCUUAAAUAUUUGUCAUUCAUUGUGUCUGGAUUCUUCUCGCUUUCCACUAAAAAUCUUGAAAGUAUGUCUUCUUUCACAUUCUUGAAGCCAUAAAAAGAAAUAAGAAAAAACAAACCAAUUAUUAGUAAAGUAUAAAUUUCCACGCCAAAAACCAGAUUACCUUAAGCAGUGAGAUUGAAUUCAACAGUGUUCUUGUGACUCUCAAGUCCCACCAUAUUUGUUAGACCAAGAUUGACUAUAAGAAAUUCUUGCAGCAAAAUAUAUAUGGCUCACCAAAUCUCGUUCCAUGCCCAGCAGUUUCCUCUUGGAGCUAAUGACAUCGUGAACAAAGUAUCAACGACUUUGAUAUUCUUUCUGAGGGCAGCUUCAGAGCCAAUGUUAAGAGACCGUUUCAGCUUCCAGAAAGGGUCAACAAAGCGCCUCUCAUUUGAAUCAUCAAAAGCCUUCAUAAAAGUAGUCCCUUCCUUACUUGACCCAUCCAUGCAGUUUAAAUCUAUGCCAAACCCAACUUUGAAUAUGGAAUCUAGAGUGCAUGUCAUUAAUAGAUUCUACAAAUUAAAGUAAACACAGCAUGAAAAACUGAAAAAGGGAAAAUUAGACAAGCAUAAUUGUGAGCAUCUUUAAAGUUUUGGGUUAAUUUGAGGGUCAGAUUUCUCACUUGCAUGUCAAAAGCUUGACCCGACACUUCCAGCUUCGAAAUAACUCCAACCAGUUUGGCAGCGUUCCUUCUGAAAACAGAGCAGCUAAAAUAUUUAAGAACUCUCGUCGAGAACUCGAAGCUUGCCAGCUUCCGCUGCUUCCGCCACUUGUCUCCGUCCACCGCAAAGAUCCCUUGUCCAAAAAGAUCUAUCAGAAUUUCUUGGUUUUGUUUACCCUUACAGUAUCUGUCGAACUUUGUUUUCAAUAUGUACUCUACAUUUCGCGUAUCGACGGUGUAUACUACGCUUAGCCCUAAAGCGAGUUGCCUGUAAGUGGGCUGUUUUUUGGCCGCUUGGGUUUGGUAGUCGUAGAGAUAGUUGAAAUAAAACAACUGGUUGAAAACGCUGCCCUUCACCGGUGGGUUGUCAGGAUUUCCGAUGGAUUUUCCGGUGAAGAUUUUGAUUGUGAGAAAAGAGAAGAUCAGGAAGAGAAUGAGUGGUGGUAAUGACAUCAACAAGAAGAUGGUAGAGAGAAUAUCCAUUUUUCCUUUUUCUAAUGAAUACUCGGAAAGGUUAUAGGCCAUAUAUGCAGAUUCUUGCAUUGGGUUGCAUUCAUUUUUCAACCUACCAACAAAAUCAAACCGUUUUCAUCACCAAUAUCUUUCUCAACAACAAAAUCAUUUGUUUAAUAAUUAUAAUGUUUACACGUGUACGAUUGCCAUUUCAUCAAUUUGAUUUUUCUUGUAAAUUAAGUUGAUGCCACCAUAUCUCAUACUUCAAAAAUUUUAGAGGAUUGUACGGAUAAUCAUAAAUUUAUAAUCAUAAUUAUAAUCUAUUUAACUUCUAAAGUGAAUUAACAUAUAUAACUUUAAUCAAGUAAGCAUGAAAAAAGUGUAUCAUUUAAGUUUGGGUCUUGUUUACGAAUAUUCUAAGAGUUUUUUUAUCGUUAAUUAAAAUAUUAUAAUAAUAUUUUUCUUUUAAAUGUCGUAAUUGACUGGUAGUGCGAUGAUUUUCAAUAUAUCUAAAAUGAUAUUACUCAAUAUAAUAACUUUAAAUAAUAUCAUUAUAACAAUAGUUAGUAAAAGUCAUAAUAUUCAAAAAAGCUUUUAAAUUAUUCAAAAAAUUUAAAAUAAAUCUUACUUUUAUUAUAUUCAAUUAUAUUUUUAUAUUUUUAUUUUAGAUCAAAUAAAUCUUUUAUUUUUAUUUUGAAUCAAAUAAAUCUUUAUAAAUAAUAAUUGACUUAGUUAAAAUGUUAUUUGUCAUUAUAUAUUACGUGACGCUGAUGUAGUAUACUAACAUAUCAUAAUUAAUGAUGAUGUGAUAUGUUGAUUUAUCAUAUUUGAUAAUGAUAUGACAUGCUAGUUUAACCUAAUAACAUGAUGACAUUUUUCAAUCUCUACAUUAAUAUCAUAUUAGUGCCACGUGGAUAUAAAAUGAUAAAAUAUAUUUUGACUAAUGAAAAUUAGUCAAUUAUUAUUAAUAAAAGCUUAUUUGAUCUAAAAUAAAAAUAUAGAGACUUGAUUAAGCGUAACAAAAGAAUAAAAAUUUAUUCGAAUUUUGUUAAAUAGUUUCAGAGCUUAUUUGAGAAAUAUGUGUUAGUAAAACCAUUUAUAUUUAAAUUUUUAUUUUAUUUUUUGAAAAGUAAUUUGUCAUAAACGGAAUAAUGACAUGGCUAUAGAUUAAGCUAGGCUAUAAACUUAUUUCAGCCUUAAAUGAUUAACAAUGAAUAAGGUGCGUCCCCUCUCAAGAAACCCCUAUACAAUAGUUAGGAUAAACCCUUAAAGGAUGGACCUCAGGACCGGGGGCAGCUCAAGUACCUCUUGUGACGACAUGAUAUUCAUUGAAGACUAUUUGGACUUCAAGCGUGUUCAUCCAUUGACAUUGGCAAUUAGUUUCUGCUGGCAUGAACCGUAUGGCGACCACUUGUAUGAUUGUGAUAUAUCAUGCUGUUGAGUGCGAGCUCAACUUUGUUGAAGUACAUUGGUGUCCUUGGUUUUGUUGAAUUCUGACAAUAGACAUCCCAUACCCAAUUCAUAGCAUACAUAUGGCUUUUAUCUUUGUUUAAAUUGAAUUAAGAACAUCCGGAUUCAUUUCAUACUCAUAAGAUCUUAAGAUGAUCAAGAUUUGCACUUAACGGAAGCAAAACUGGCCUGAACUCAAUAUUCAGACAAAAGUAUGGUUCUAGACUCUUUGGUCAGUGAAAGCAACCAUCCAUCAUAUCGAUUCCUUUCGUCCUUUUUGCUUGGUGACAUCAUCCGAUUUACUCAUGUGCAAGGAAAGAUACAAGUAUAUUAACAGUGUGCAUUUGCCUAGUAUAAAGAACUGAGCCACCAGAUGAAACCCUUGGUCAAAUAAGCUAGAAAGACCAAAGUUAAGUCUGACAUCUGUGAAGUGCGCGGACAUGAAGGCCCCCAUCUACAUGAAGAUUGAUCAUCGUCCUGUAGGUGACACAUUUAUUCUCAUCACUCAGUUUGAACGCAAAGCAGUGCACCAGAACAGCUGAGAAGAUCUUCAUCUGCCUAUAAGCAAAUUCCUUGCCUAAACAAAUUCGAGGCCCUGCCUGUAAACCAUUAGAAAAUAAAGUUCAGUAUCUUCACAUCUUUAGCCGGUAAAAUCACACUUGUGAAACAAUAUGAGAGGUUUGAACUUUCAGAAAAAGACUCAGAACCAGAAUCAAAUGCUGUUAUGCUGCUUUUUUACCAUUUUUUUUCUAUUUGAGGUCUUUUUUUACACCAAGUGCCAAUCAGAAUAAAAAUGCUUUGCCCGAUCUGCAAAAGAAGCAUACAACAAUUUCUAAUUUGCAACAUGUUCUGCAUACCUGGAAUGCUGUAAACUUAAAAGGGCUUUCUGGUUGGAACAUCCCCUCCUCAUCAAGGCAUCUCUCUGGUCUGAACUCCUCUGCAUCAUCACCCCAAAUGAAUUUCAUUCUGCCCAUUGCAUAAGGUUCAUAACAAACCAUAUCUCCUUUCCUCACACUGAACCCAUCUGGAAGAGUUUCAUCAGACAAGCAUAUCUUUGCAUCCUGCAAUCAAAGUGAAGAGGUAGUGAGAACCAAAGAAAACCCCAGAACAUAGCAAGGAAGCUAAUUUCUAGCCUUCCCGAUAUGCAUUGAAUGGAUAUCAGUUUAUCGAUGCAUGUUCUUUGAUGUGCAUUAACAAGUUCAGUUGGAGGAUUCAAGAUUCAAGGCAACUUUGCUUACAACUGGAACAGCGGGGUAGAGCCUUAAUGUUUCAGUUAAGGCUGCAUGGAGAUAGUGCAUUUUUCCUAGGGCUUCUUCGCUCAAGAUAGCAGCAAAUUCAGCAAAAUCUUUAACCUCCUUCGUGUCAGUUGCUUCCUUCACUUCUUGUGCAACCUUUUCUUGAACAUCAGGAUGCUUGCAGAGCAUGUAAAUAAACCACGACAGAGUAGCUGUCGUUGUGUCUUUCCCAGCAAUUAUGAAGUUAAGGAUUAUAUCUCGCAAGUAUGUUGGAUCAGUGUCACUCACUUGUAGAAAUCUGGAUAAAAUGUCUUCCUUUUUCAUCUGCAUAAUCUGUAGAAAAUAAUAAUUUCAAUAUUCUACUUCAACAGGUAAUAUAAGCUGUUAACUAUAAGUAGCUCUACUGUUCUAGUUCACUCACUGAAGCUUCAUCCUUUGAGUUGCGUAUUGGCUCAAUCUUGUUGUGGAUCAGCUUAUACACAAAAUUAUCAACCACUUCUAUACUUUUCUUCAGUGUGGCCUCUGAUCCAAUAUUUAGAAAUCUUUUGAUCUUCUAGAAGAUAUCAACAUAUCGGAAGAGGAUUGCUGCACUUGAAUCAUCAAAAGCAGCUGUAAACUGUUUGCCUUCUAAAUUUGAUCCACACAUGCUGUCUAGUUCGACUCCAAAUGCAACUUUGAAUAGUGAAUCUAAAGUCGAUUUCAUAAACAAGUCCUGCACAAUAUAUCGUUAUAACAGAUCCAUUUUAUAUAUCACUCUGCAUUGAUCUUGCCAUUAGGUGAACUUACCUGUAUAUCCAUUAUCUCAUUGGAAUUUGCUGCUUCAGACACUAUAGUUGCAAGUUUUGCCGCAUUUUCCCGAAAGACUACACUGCUGAAAUCUCUCAAGACCUUGGUUGAGAAUUCAUAGCUUGAUACUUUCCUCUGUUGACGCCACUUAUCACCAUCGACAGUGAAAAUCCCAUCACCUAGUAAACCCUUUAGCAAGCUGUAAUUGUACUCACCCUGCACAGAAAAUUAAACAGUUUGGAAAACCAAAACAACUCCACCAUUCUGCCUUUUGGGUGGCCAUAUAAUUAUCAAAAGCCCUCUCAUUCCAACUAAUCACUCUGCGGCAUAUUAGCAUCUACAAUUGACUUACUUGUGGCGAGAUUGAGACCCUUUUUCUUAAUCUAAUUACGGGUGUUUCUGUCUAAGCUACUUACACUAACCAAUCACCGGGAGAGUUCAGAAUUUUCUAGACCAACAAAUUAUUUGUGACUUUGAGGUGUGAAACGAGAGUCGGCACCAUACCUUGCCAUAUUUCUGGAAAUUUGUUUUUAGAAUAUACUCAACAUUGUCUGGUUCCGAGGUAUAAAUCUCAUUCCUGAAAGGGCUAAGCAGCCUGUAGUUCCUGUACUUCCCAGCAAGAUCAGUCAUAUAGUGAUGCAAUCUUCUGAAGUUGAGGAGCUGGUUAAAAACCGUUCCGCCAACGGGAUGGUACUUGGCCUUAUUUUUCCUCUGCCUUUCUCUUAGUUUUGCUGUGAGGAACUGGACGGUGAAAAGGGUCAGGAUUAGACUUAGAACCAAAGCUACCAAGGGAACUGGGUUAGACAGAUCCAUGAAGAUGGAGGUACGUUUGGGAAAGCUGGUCUAUCAAUGUUAGGUGAAGGCUGUAUUAAACUAGAGAAGUCGUUCUGAAAUACUAAUAAUAUCAACGGAGAGAAGUCCUUCUGCCAAGUUAUUCCUCUCAACCAAACGUGUCACAACCUAAUUGGACUACAUUCGGACAAGCCCGAAACGUGGUUCUCUCGAAUUUCACAAGGUGAAAUUUUUGAAAUUGGCAAAAAAUUACUAAUAAAUUUCACCACAACCAGAUAACAAAACAAAGGGUCAUACUUAUUUUUUCCUUAGUUAUGAUGGUAAAGGACAUACAUAUCUGUUCUAUUCGGUUAUUUUGUAGUUAAGUAAAGAGAAUGAUUUUUUAAUUUAAUUUUUAAAUAAAAAUACGUGUAUUUAUCAUGUUAAGUUUAAUAUUCAGAUGAAAAAUUAAUUAGAAUUUUAUUUCAAAGCAUAUGAUACAAUUAAGUAACUUAAGUACAAAGAUGAUUAAGCUUAGCAAACAAGGAAAUGUCAUAUUUCUCAAUCCGAGAGAUAAGAAGCACAGAGCCAAAGGCCCUGCAAAAAGGCAGGGGAGAACUGAAUUGUUGUUUCCUAAAACUUUGCAUUAAGAUCAACAUGACUUUCUAGUCAUUAAAUAUUCUGCUAGAUUUCGAACUUGCAAAUAUGGUCUGUUUUAAUGAAAUUGCAGAAUGUUGUCUCAGGUCUCAACAACUUUGAUUUCACUUCUUUUUCAAGGAAAAAAAAAUGGUUUCACUUAGUUUGCAGAAGUGUCCUGAACUCAAUUUUCAGACAAAAGUAUGGUUCGAGACUCCUUGGUGAGUGAAAGUAAUUCUUCAUCAUAUUUAUUCCUUUAUUUUUCUUUUUGGAUAUCAUUGUAUUUAUUCUUGUGCAAGGACAAGUACAUGCAUACUCAAACCUUGCAAUUGCCCAGCAUACAGAACUGAGCCAACAGAUGAAACCCGUGGUCAAAUAGGCAAGAAAGACUAAGUCUGACAUCUGGGAAAUGCGCGGACAUGAAGGCCCCCAUCUACGUGAAGAGUGAUCAUCGUCCUGUAGGUGACAGAUUUAUUCUCAUCACUCAGUUUGAACACAAAGUAGUGCACCAGAACAGCCGAGAAGAUCUUCAUCUGCCUAUAAGCAAAUUCCUUGCCGAAACAAAUUCGAGGGCCUGCCUGUAAACCAUUAGAAAAUAAAGUUCAGCAUGUUCACAUCUUUAGCCGGUGAAAUCACACUUGUGAAACAAUAUGAGAAGUUUGAACUUUCGGAAAAAGACCCAGAACCAAAAAUCAAAUGCUGUUAUACUGCUUUUUUAGCCUCUUUUUCUAUUUGAGGUUUUAUUUUACACCAAGUGCCAAUCAGAAUAAUAAUGCUUUGGCCGAUCUGGAAACGAAGCGUACAAGAACUUCUAAUUUGUAGUAUGUUCUGCACACCUGGAAUGCUGUAAACUUAAAAUGGCUUUCUGGUUGGAAC